rnacentral:rRNA from 1 species
UACGUAGGGUGCAAGCGUUGUCCGGAAUUAUUGGGCGUAAAGAGCUCGUAGGCGGUCUGUCGCGUCGGCUGUGAAAACCCGGGGCUCAACCCCGGGCCUGCAGUCGAUACGGGCAGACUAGAGUGCGGUAGGGGAGACUGGAAUUCCUGGUGUAGCGGUGAAAUGCGCAGAUAUCAGGAGGAGCACCGGUGGCGAAGGCGGGUCUCUGGGCCGUAACUGACGCUGAGGAGCGAAAGCGUGGGGAGCGAACAGG